UUAACCUGGGGAUCUUGUUAAAGUGCAGAUUCUGAUUCAGUAGAUCUGGGGAGGAACACAAGAUUCUGCAUUUCUAACAAGCUCCUAGGUGUGGCCCA
rnacentral:pre_miRNA from 1 species